rnacentral:rRNA from 1 species
GACGAACGCUGGCGGCGUGCUUAACACAUGCAAGUCGAGCGGUGCGGCGGACGGGUGAGUAACGCGUGAGUAACUGCCCCCCUCCCUGUGAUAACGGUUGGAAACGGCUGCUAAUACCGGAUAGUGGGGGAUGAUUCGCGUCCUAUCAGCUUGGUGGUGGGGUGGUGGCCGGCCAAGGCGACGCCGGGUAGCCGGCCUGAGAGGUCGGACGGCCACAUGGGGCUGAGAUACGGCCCAAACGCCUACGGGAGGCAGUAGUGGGGAAUAUUGCACAGUCGGGGCAACCGUGAGGCAGCAACGUCGCGGUCGGGAUGACGGUCUAGGGGUUGUAAACCGGUUGCAGCCAUGACGCGGUAGUGGCAGAAGAAGCACCGGCUAACUACGUGCCAGCAGCCGCGGUAAUUC